AUCCAGAGAACUUAGCAGAGAUGCUUUGGUGGCCUUCGGGAACUCUGAGACAGGUGCUGCAUGGCUGUCGUCAGCUCGUGUUGUGAAAUGUUGGGUUAAGUCCGCAACGAGCGCAACCCUUAUCCUUUGUUGCCAGCGGUUCGGCCGGGAACUCAAAGGAGACUGCCGGUGAUAAACCGGAGGAAGGUGGGGAUGACGUCAAGUCAUCAUGGCCCUUACGGCCAGGGCUACACACGUGCUACAAUGGCGCAUACAAAGAGAAGCGACCUCGCGAGAGCAAGCGGACCUCAUAAAGUGCGUCGUAGUCCGGAUUGGAGUCUGCAACUCGACUCCAUGAAGUCGGAAUCGCUAGUAAUCGUAGAUCAGAAUGCUACGGUGAAUACGUUCCCGGGCCUUGUACACACCGCCCGUCACACCAUGGGAGUGGGUUGCAAAAGAAGUAGGUAGCUUAACCUUCGGGAGGGCGCUUACCACUUUGUGAUUCAUGACUGGGGUGAAGUCGUAACAAGGUAAGCGUACGUGU
rnacentral:rRNA from 1 species